ACGCACGCUGGCGGCGUGCUUAACACAUGCCAGUCGAACGGAAAGGCCCCUUUGGGGGUACUCGAGUGGCGAACGGGUGAGUAACACGUGAGUAACCUGCCCUUGACUUCGGGAUAACUUCAGGAAACUGGGGCUAAUACCGGAUAGGAAUCCUUGCUGCAUGGUGGGGGUUGGAAAGCUUCGGCGGUUUUGGAUGGACUCGCGGCUUAUCAGCUUGUUGGUGGGGUAGUGGCUUACCAAGGCUUUGACGGGUAGCCGGCCUGAGAGGGCGACCGGCCACAUUGGGACUGAGAUACGGCCCAGACUCCUACGGGAGGCAGCAGUGGGGAAUAUUGCACAAUGGGCGGAAGCCUGAUGCAGCAACGCCGCGUGCGGGAUGACGGCCUUCGGGUUGUAAACCGCUUUCAGCAGGGGCGAAGCUUGUGGUGACGGUACCUGCAGAAGAAGCACCGGCUAACUACGU
rnacentral:rRNA from 1 species